UACAGAGGGUGCAAACGUUGUUCGGAAUUACUGGGCGUAAAGCGCGUGUAGGCGGCGAGGUAAGUCGGGUGUGAAAGCCCACGGCUCAACCGUGGAAGUGCACUCGAAACUGCCCCGCUAGAGUCUCGGAGAGGAAGGCGGAAUGCUCGGUGUAGAGGUGAAAUUCGUAGAUAUCGAGCGGAACACCGGUGGCGAAGGCGGCCUUCUGGACGAUGACUGACGCUGAGACGCGAAAGCGUGGGGAGCAAACAGG
rnacentral:rRNA from 1 species